rnacentral:rRNA from 1 species
UACGAAGGGGGCUAGCGUUGCUCGGAAUCACUGGGCGUAAAGGGUGCGUAGGCGGGUCUUUAAGUCAGGGGUGAAAUCCUGGAGCUCAACUCCAGAACUGCCUUUGAUACUGAGAAGCUUGAGUCCGGGAGAGGUGGGUGGAACUGCGAGUGUAGAGGUGAAAUUCGUAGAUAUUCGCAAGAACACCAGUGGCGAAGGCGGCUCACUGGCCCGGUACUGACGCUGAGGUGCGAAAGCGUGGGGAGCAAACAGG